UGGUCUGCAAAAUGACCUUCAGUGAUGAUAAUAAUUCUCUGUUUUGGUUGCACAUGUAGGCUCAAGCAUUGGACAGAGAAAAAGGCUUACCCUUCUUGUAUCCAGUAUCCUUUAGAACGAUUGCAAGAAAAGAUGUGUGAAGAGAAAUCUAUUUCCAGUUGUAGCAGUCUAAUGAGUCCUCUGAAGCCUAUGGAAAUCCUUGCCCAUACCAAUUAUAAAAUAGCUGUGUGGAACUGGAUGUACAUCUGAGAGUUCUUCUAUCCAGUAGCAUAUGGAAGAAUUUGAGAAAUUGCAAGCAACGAUGCAUAUGUUCCUGAAAACAAUGUACAAGUAUGUAUUACGUUAGAGGACAGUGCAUGCCAAAGAAAAGAAUAU
rnacentral:lncRNA from 11 species